AUUGCUUUGACCUCAAAUAUCUGAUAACCAAUGUCGCUUCAACCUGGCAAAGUGUGACGCUGCCAAGAAUGGCACCCUCCUGUACAUUGUGUCGAAUACCGAUUCCUGCCCUGUACCCGUAGAGCUUCUGCUCAUGUGAUCACACAUAGUGGACGCUGCCCUGACUACUUCCCCGAUGGUGUCCUUGGUAGAUGAUCCCUCAACACUCCCAAGUUACAAUAAAACAUAGCACCGAUAAGCCCAUGUCAUUAUUCUUUGGGUAAAUAACAACAAGAGUCAUGUGCUAUUU